GCAGCCUGCAUGAUCGAGUCUGAUAAUCGCCAAGUAGUCAACCGAGCUGAUGCUGGCAUGGGAAAACAUGUCAUGCCGAACACCUCAAAACAUAUGUUAAAUCCUUGAAGACCCUACAAACCGACUGUGAAAAUGAUGAGAUUUGCAGCGAAGUGGAAAUUGAGUUUAAAAAACUUCUCAGCAAAGUCGUGGGGAAUCUCAGCAUUGUGCAAAGACACCUAGACAGCUGUGUGACUCGGCCGUGCACACCCCCCGCAGUUAAGGAGGUAAAAUUGAAAUGGUUCCUGAAACAAUUCAAUUUGUUUUUAAACCACCGAAACCGCAGGUUGUGCUAAGUGCAGCCAUGGUUACGGAUGGAUGGGGCAACGGACCUUCCUCCUCGUCAGCGAUAAAGAAAAGAGAAUAAUCGAUAGAUCUUGUUAACCCUCUGAUAAAGAAAAAUGUGCAGAACUUUUCAAAAUGAAGAAUGUUUUCUUUCUCCUCUUGCAAUUUGUCAGCUCUCCACAGUUUCUUUUCAGUGUUAAUCCAAAGAAGGUAGACUCCAGAAUACCUUCAUCACCGCUAAAAUAUUUCAAUGAUUUGAAGAGGACUUUUCAAUUGAAUCUCUGUUAUUUGAUAAUGCAACCCCACGAACAUUAUUUAGUGUCAAAUUCAGUUUAGUGUUGGGAAUUAAUACAAUGCAAGCAACGAAAUGUCCUGCUGCUAAUAUUCCAACUAGUGAUUAACUCUUCCCAUUAAAAUGGUAUUCAAUAGAUGCCUAAACCAUAUAGCUCAUGUCUAUGGUGAAUGGAUGGGAAAGUGUUAGAUCUGUACUCACUGGCAGUGAAUGUUGGAGAUUGGGUCAGACAGUCAUAACCCUAUCCUAACCUACACUUUCUCUGGGUGUAGCCCACUCUGUCAAGGUUAAUGUGGCAGAAUUACUCGAGUUACCUCAAAUUUAUAGAGCACUUACAAACAAUUGGUACCUGACUUUCACUGAAUUAUAUUGAAUUCAGCUCUGUGUUUUCUAAGUUGUGAAUACUGCUCCCUGACAAGCACAAGAAGUGGUCUUAUAGUGUCCCUUCAGUACAGGAAACUCUCUUAAGAUGAUUGCUCUUUCAAUUCCUGAACAUUAGUUGAUUACUUAAAUAGAAAUAAUGUGCAGUUAGGGAGAACGGGCAGGAGGGUGGCACAAAUCAUAAUUCUCAUUCGGAGAGUUGGUGUGGACAUGAUAGGCUGAAUAGCCUUUUUCACUAAUCUGUGAUUCUGUUUCAUCUUCCACUUCUCUCAAAUACAAAAGCAAGUGCUCAGCUAAUUUUUGCCUCAAUCUAGUCUCCAAUAAUCCAAGAAACCAUAGUAAGGUUAAUAGCACCUUUCU